UGGGGAAUCAUGGUCAAUGGGCGAAAGCCUGAACCUGCGACGCCGCGUGAGUGAUGAAGGUCGUAAGAUCGUAAAACUCUUUUCAGGGAUCUUAAAGCACAACCGUCAACAACGGCUGUGUGUGCCUCUCCCUGGAAGAAGCCACAGCCAACUACGUGCCAGCAGCUGCGGUACUACGUAGGGGGCGAGCGUUAUUCGGAAUUACUGGGUGUAAAGGGUAUGUAGGCGGCCCUUCAAGUCGCGUGUCAAGGUCCAGUGCUCAACGCUGGGUGUGAGCGCGAGACUGACGGGCUUGAGGGCUGGAGAGGUGAGCGGAAUUCCCGGUGUAGUGGUAAAAUACGUAGAGAUCGGGAGGAACACCAGCGGCGCAGGCGGCUCACUAGACAGUUUCUGACGCUAAGAUACGAAAGCGUGGGGAGCAAACA
rnacentral:rRNA from 1 species